rnacentral:misc_RNA from 1 species
AAGAGACGGGAAGGGAUGCAACAGAGAAUGUCUGAUUGAUUAUAUUCGGUCAUCUGAUAGGGUCUGUAUGUUUGUUGAUUAACUUCAUGAAAGGUCCUUUUUCCUUUAUUCUGAGAUGCAAUUUUGUUUUGCACAUUCCUUAUGUGAUCCUUGAGUUACAAAAAAAAAGAAAAAAAUGUUGCUUCGUUUGUGCUUUUUGAAG